AUAAUUUGGGAGCAAGAAUCAGAUUUCAGAACCUAGAUGGAAAUAGAAAUUGGGGAAAAACCCAAUGAACUACAUGCAACCAGAUUUGUUGCAUGUUUACAGUUUUAAAAAGGAAUGGAGGGAUGAGAACUCACUUACGGUUUAGAUAGAAGAAAUUAAUCGGUGGAAAUGAAAGCCUACAGCACCAGGAUUAUCUAGACUUCCUCUGAUUGUGAAAUGGGUGACUCAGUGAAAGAGUAAUCUAGAGAGAUGGUGGAGAAAAAUUUGAAGAAUAGGAAGUUAGAGAGAAAAGUGUUUGUAAGAAAUGAAGUAGAUACAUAGUAAAAGUUUGUAAUUAUACUUCUGAUAUACUUUAAGUUUUAAAACAUAGCUUCAUCAACUUAAUACUAUUAAAACCUAUCAGCCUUAUUGCUAGGUUAUUACAAUAAACAACAUGAAUCAUGAUAUCAAUGUGUGAUAUGAAAAUUUUAAGUCAUGUGAUCUAAUUUAACUAGAAAAGAAUAAUGUAUUGAUGAUCAAUCAAUGAUAAUGAUUCCAAUAC
rnacentral:lncRNA from 1 species